AUCUGAUAAGGGCAAACUUCUCCGAAAGGGAAGGACGCAAAGCCGUGAGCCUGCCUGUUUUUCAAAUGGUUGUCUGGCUGCCGGG
rnacentral:ncRNA from 1 species